rnacentral:rRNA from 1 species
CACGGGUGGCAGCAGUGGGGAAUAUUGGACAAUGGGCGAAAGCCUGAUCCAGCCAUGUCGCGUGUGUGAAGAAGGCCUUCGGGUUGUAAAGCACUUUCAGUGGGGAAGAAAGCCUUGGGGCUAAUACCCUCGAGGAAGGACAUCACCCACAGAAGAAGCACCGGCUAACUCCGUGCCAGCAGCCGCGGUAAUACGGAGGGUGCGAGCGUUAAUCGGAAUUACUGGGCGUAAAGCGCGCGUAGGCGGUCUGAUAAGCCGGUUGUGAAAGCCCCGGGCUCAACCUGGGAACGGCAUCCGGAACUGUCAGGCUAGAGUGCAGGAGAGGAAGGUAGAAUUCCCGGUGUAGCGGUGAAAUGCGUAGAGAUCGGGAGGAAUACCAGUGGCGAAGGCGGCCUUCUGGACUGACACUGACGCUGAGGUGCGAAAGCGUGGGUAGCAAACAGGAUUAGAUACCCUAGUAGUC